rnacentral:rRNA from 1 species
GACGAACGCUGGCGGCGUGCUUAACACAUGCAAGUCGAACGGAAAGGCCCUGCUUUUGUGGGGUGCUCGAGUGGCGAACGGGUGAGUAACACGUGAGUAACCUGCCCUUGACUUUGGGAUAACUUCAGGAAACUGGGGCUAAUACCGGAUAGGAGCUCCUGCUGCAUGGUGGGGGUUGGAAAGUUUCGGCGGUUGGGGCUGGAAUCGCGGCUUAUCAGCUUGUUGGUGGGGUAGUGGCUUACCAAGGCUUUGACGGGUAGCCGGCCUGAGAGGGUUACCGGCCACAAUGGGACUGAGAUACGGCCCAGAAGCCUACGGGAGGCAGCAGUGGGGAAUAUUGCGCAAUGGGCGGAAGCCUGAUGCAGCAACGCCGCGUGCGGGAUGACGGCCUUCGGGUUGUAAACCGCUUUCGCAUGUGACGAAGCGUGAGUGACGGUAAUGGGUAAAGAAGCACCGGCUAACUACGUG